CGCCCCGCCGCUCACGCUGUUGCCGCCGCUCCGCGCCGCCGGUGGCAGUCGCGCCGUCCUCCGGCGGUUACCGAUCUCCGCUUAUUCACUCGCGGCGCGACCUGUCUGUAGGGAGGGUGUGUGUCCCGUCCUGCCAGACGGCGCUGCGCCCUCCUCUCGCGGCAGCAAGCUGGCCAGCGCGCUCAAUCCCUGUAUCCAAUGAAGAUAAUAAAUUCAGAAAGUGAAUUCAGAAUUCUGAUACAUGAGAGUUCACAUCAGAAUUCCCAGCAAACUCAUGAUAUUGCCAAGCCAAGACAAAACUGGUAUUUCCUGAGGUUUCACGUUUCACAGAAUGCAGAGAUAUCUGGUGACCAGGUUCUGGAAGAGCCAGCAGUUUGGAGAGAGUGGAAAAAGGAUUGGUCCCAGGGGAACAGUUGUUACUGAGAGAUACAGCUACCACACAACGUUCAAUUCACAUGUAUCCUGUCUCUACUGAGAGCAAAACUGAAAUCCAGUGUCUGGACAUUAAAGCUAGACAAUUUGCUUGAAACUCACCACCUGUUAUAGUUUUCUUCCCUGAGAUAUUGUCAUGAUGUUCAUCUUCUAUGCUGCACAUCAUCUUUAUAUAUAUUUCAUUUUCCUAUACAGUCUUACUGUAGGAAAGGAAUGUUGUUUCUGCAUUAGAUACUG
ensembl:lncRNA